rnacentral:rRNA from 1 species
AUAGACGCUAGCGACAGGCCUAACACAUGCAAGGUCGAGGGGCAGCAUGGUAUCAGCUUGCUGAUACCGAUGGCGACCGGCGCGACGGGUGAGUAACGCGUAUGUAAUCUGCCUGUAACAGAGGGAUAACCCGGAGAAAUCCGGCCUAAUACCUCAUAGCACAUAUUAUUCGCAUGAGUUUUUAUGUUAAAGAGACUCGGUUACAGAUGAACAUGCGUUCCAUUAGCUGGUUGGCGGGGUAACGGCCCACCAAGGCAACGAUGGAUAGGGGUUCUGAGAGGAAGGUCCCCCACACUGGUACUGAGACACGGACCAGACUCCUACGGGAGGCAGCAGUGAGGAAUAUUGGUCAAUGGGCGAGAGCCUGAACCAGCCAAGUCGCGUGGAGGAAGACUGCCCUACGGGUUGUAAACUCCUUUUACCUGGGAAUAACGGGCGCUACGCGUAGCGCUGUGCAUGUACCGGGAGAAUAAGCAUCGGCUAAUUCCGUG